AUUGAACGCUGGCGGCAGGCCUAACACAUGCAAGUCGAGCGAGCGGCGGACGGGUGAGUAAUGCCUGGGAAUUGCCCAGUCGAGGGGGAUAACAGUUGGAAACGACUGCUAAUACCGCAUACGAUUGGAUUGCGCAGGUGGGAUUAGCUAGUUGGGGGGGUAAUGGCUCACCAAGGCGACGAUCCCGAGCUGGGCUGAGAGGAUGGUAAGCCGAACUGGAACGGAGACCCGGCACAGACCGCUACGGGAGGCGGCAGUGUGGAAUAUGGAACAAGGGGGGAAACCCUGAUGCAGCCAGGCCGCGUGUGUGAAGAAGGCCUUCGGGUUGGAAAGCACUUUCAGCGAGGAGGCGUUACUCGCAGAAGAAGCACCGGCUAACUCCGUGCCAGCCGCCGCGGUAAUUC
rnacentral:rRNA from 1 species